UACGUAGGGUGCAAGCGUUGUCCGGAAUUAUUGGGCGUAAAGAGCGUGUAGGCGGCCCGACCAGUCCACUGUGAAAGUCCAGGGCUCAACCCUGGAAUGCCGGUGGAUACUGUCGGGCUAGAGUCCGGAAGGGGCGAGUGGAAUUCCUGGUGUAGCGGUGAAAUGCGCAGAUAUCAGGAGGAACACCAAUGGCGAAGGCAGCUCGCUGGGACGUGACUGACGCUGAGACGCGAAAGCGUGGGGAGCAAACAGG
rnacentral:rRNA from 1 species